GACGAACGCUGGCGGCGUGCUUAACACAUGCAAGUCGGACGGGAUUCUACUAGCAAAGUGGAAUAGUUUACUAUGAAGCGGAGCAGGUAGAAUUUAGUGGCGGACGGGUGAGUAACGCGUGAGGAUCUAUCCAUUACUGGGGGACAACAGCUGGAAACGGCUGCUAAUACCGCAUAAGCCUUCGGGUGAAAGAAGUAAUUCGGUAUAGGAGGAACUCGCGUCCUAUCAGCUAGUAGGUGGGGUAACGGCCCACCUAGGCGAAGACGGGUAGCCGGCCUGAGAGGGCGCACGGCCACACUGGAACUGAGAUACGGUCCAGACUCCUACGGGAGGCAGCAGUGGGGAAUAUUGGGCAAUGGGCGGAAGCCUGACCCAGCGACGCCGCGUGAAUGAAGAAAUCCUUCGGGAUGUAAAGUUCUGUUGUACGGGAAGAGCGAGAGACGGUACCGUACGAGGAAGCCCCGGCAAACUACGUGCCAGCCGCCGCAGUAACAC
rnacentral:rRNA from 1 species